rnacentral:rRNA from 1 species
CAGUAGCCGCGGGAAUACGUAGGGUGCAAGCGUUAUCCGGAAUUAUUGGGCGUAAAGAGCUCGUAGGCGGUUUGUCGCGUCUGCUGUGAAAACUGGAGGCUCAACCUCCAGCCUGCAGUGGGUACGGGCAGACUAGAGUGCGGUAGGGGAGAUUGGAAUUCCUGGUGUAGCGGUGGAAUGCGCAGAUAUCAGGAGGAACACCGAUGGCGAAGGCAGAUCUCUGGGCCGUAACUGACGCUGAGGAGCGAAAGCGUGGGGAGCGAACAGGAUUAGAUACCCGGGUAGUCCCUGUCUCUUAUAC